GCGGCUGUGGUGGAAAGGUAGACACAGCAGCUUGAGGGGCUGCCGGGCAUAAGCCCGUGUAGGUUCGACUCCUACCAGCCGCACCA
rnacentral:tRNA from 1 species